rnacentral:ncRNA from 1 species
UAAAGCCGUGUGCAAUGAAAAAUGCAAGCACGGUUUGGGGAGGGAAUUUUUUUACUAACAAUAUUAAUAUCAGGUGGACAUAUGCGGAUCCAUCAUGGGCGCGAAUUGCUGCUCUUGUUCCAGUUGUUGUAGCAUGUGCUGAGGCAGGUGAUGAGGUUGCUAACAACAUCCUCCUCGAUUCAGU